rnacentral:rRNA from 1 species
GCUCAGAUUGAACGCUGGCGGAAUGCUUUACACAUGCAAGUCGAACGGCAGCACGGACUUCGGUCUGGUGGCGAGUGGCGAACGGGUGAGUAACAUAUCGGAACGAAUCCAAUAAUGGGGGAUAACUAAUCGAAAGGUUGGCUAAUACCGCAUACGCCCUACGGGGGAAAGCUAGGGAUCUUCGGACCUGGCGUUAAUGGAGCGGCCGAUAUCUGAUUAGCUAGUUGGUGGGGUAAAGGCCCACCAAGGCGACGAUCAGUAGCUGGUCUGAGAGGACGACCAGCCACACUGGAACUGAGACACGGUCCAGACUCCUACGGGAGGCAGCAGUGGGGAAUUUUGGACAAUGGGCGCAAGCCUGAUCCAGCCAUUCCGCGUGAGUGAAGAAGGCCUUCGGGUUGUAAAGCUCCUUCGCAAGGGAAGAAAACUUAUUCACUAACAUUGAAUGAGGUUGACGGUACCUUGAUAAGAAGCACCGGCUAACUACGUGCCAGCAGCCGCGGUAAUACGUAGGGUGCGAGCGUUAAUCGGAAUUACUGGGCGUAAAGCGUGCGCAGGCGGUUUUGUAAGUCAGAUGUGAAAUCCCCGAGCUCAACUUGGGAACUGCGUUUGAAACUACAAGACUAGAAUAUGUCAGAGGGGGGUAGAAUUCCACGUGUAGCAGUGAAAUGCGUAGAGAUGUGGAGGAAUACCAAUGGCGAAGGCAGCCCCCUGGGAUAAUAUUGACGCUCAUGCACGAAAGCGUGGGGAGCAAACAGGAUUAGACACCCUGGUAGUCCACGCCCUAAACGAUGUCUACUAGUUGUUGGUGGAGUAAAAUCCAUGAGUAACGCAGCUAACGCGUGAAGUAGACCGCCUGGGGAGUACGAUCGCAAGAUUAAAACUCAAAUGAAUUGACGGGGCCCGCACAAGCGGUGGAUUAUGUGGAUU